AUGGGGUGAGUAGGCGCGAAACCUUCACAAUGUGCGAAAGCACGAUGAGGGGAUCCCAAGUGCUUGCUCGUAAGAGUAAGCUGUUUCUAUGUCUAAAAAGCAUAGAGAGUAAGGGCUGGGUAAGACGGGUGCCAGCCGCCGCGGUAAUACCUGCAGCUCAAGUGGUGACCGCUAUUAUUGGGCCUAAAACGUUCGUAGCCGGUUUGGUAAAUGCCUGGGUAAAUCGUGUAGCUUAACUAUACGAAUUCCGGAUAGACUGCCAAACUUGAGACCGGGAGAAGCUAGAGGUACUCCUGGGGUAGAGGUGAAAUUCUGUAAUCCUGGGGGGACCACCAGUGGCGAAGGCGUCUAGCUAGAACGGGUCUGACGGUGAGGAACGAAGCCCUGGGGCGCAAACCGGAUUAGAUACCCGGGUAGUCCAGGGUGUAAACGCUGCUUGCUUGAUGUUAGUUGGGCUCCGAGCCCAAUUAGUGUCGGAGAGAAGUUGUUAAGCAAGCUGCCUGGGAAGUACGAUCGCAAGAUUGAAACUUAAAGGAAUUGGCGGGGGAGCAC
rnacentral:rRNA from 1 species